rfam:Lactobacillus mucosae LM1, complete genome.
GAACGUUAUAAAGCAAAUUCCCGAUAGGAUUCACAGAUUGUGAAGAUGCCUUGUAACCGCAAUAACCGAACUUUUUAGUUUAGAAAAUGGGGGAAUUAACAAAAUG